UGAGGAAUAUUAGUCAAUGGUCGGGAGACUGAACCAGCCAAGCCGCGUGAGGGAUGAAGGUACAGAGUAUCGUAAACCUCUUUUGUCAGGGAACAAAAGGCGCCACGUGUGACGCUCCGAGUGUACCUGAAGAAAAAGCAUCGGCUAACUCCGUGCCAGCAGCCGCGGUAAUACGGAGGAUGCGAGCGUUAUCCGGAUUUAUUGGGUUUAAAGGGUGCGUAGGCGGCGAGUUAAGUCAGCGGUAAAAGCCCGGGGCUCAACCCCGGCCCGCCGUUGAAACUGGCUUGCUUGAGUUGGAGAGAAGUAGGCGGAAUGCGCGGUGUAGCGGUGAAAUGCUUAGAUAUCGCGCAGAACUCCGAUUGCGAAGGCAGCCUACCGGCUCCACACUGACGCUGAGGCACGAAAGCGUGGGUAUCGAACAGGAUUAGAUACC
rnacentral:rRNA from 1 species